AGAGUUUGAUCAUGGCUCAGAUUGAACGCUGGCGGCAGGCCUAACACAUGCAAGUCGAGCGGUAACACAGAGAGCUUGCUCUCGGGUGACGAGCGGCGGACGGGUGAGUAAUGUCUGGGAAACUGCCUGAUGGAGGGGGAUAACUACUGGAAACGGUAGCUAAUACCGCAUAACGUCGCAAGACCAAAGUGGGGGACCUUCGGGCCUCAUGCCAUCAGAUGUGCCCAGAUGGGAUUAGCUAGUAGGUGGGGUAACGGCUCACCUAGGCGACGAUCCCUAGCUGGUCUGAGAGGAUGACCAGCCACACUGGAACUGAGACACGGUCCAGACUCCUACGGGAGGCAGCAGUGGGGAAUAUUGCACAAUGGGCGCAAGCCUGAUGCAGCCAUGCCGCGUGUGUGAAGAAGGCCUUCGGGUUGUAAAGCACUUUCAGUGGGGAGGAAGGCGUUAAGGUUAAUAACCUUGGCGAUUGACGUUACCCGCAGAAGAAGCACCGGCUAACUCCGUGCCAGCAGCCGCGGUAAUACGGAGGGUGCAAGCGUUAAUCGGAAUUACUGGGCGUAAAGCGCACGCAGGCGGUCUGUCAAGUCGGAUGUGAAAUCCCCGGGCUUAACCUGGGAACUGCAUUCGAAACUGGCAGGCUAGAGUCUUGUAGAGGGGGGUAGAAUUCCAGGUGUAGCGGUGAAAUGCGUAGAGAUCUGGAGGAAUACCGGUGGCGAAGGCGGCCCCCUGGACAAAGACUGACGCUCAGGUGCGAAAGCGUGGGGAGCAAACAGGAUUAGAUACCCUGGUAGUCCACGCCGUAAACGAUGUCGAUUUGGAGGUUGUGCCCUUGAGGCGUGGCUUCCGGAGCUAACGCGUUAAAUCGACCGCCUGGGGAGUACGGCCGCAAGGUUAAAACUCAAAUGAAUUGACGGGGGCCCGCACAAGCGGUGGAGCAUGUGGUUUAAUUCGAUGCAACGCGAAGAACCUUACCUGGUCUUGACAUCCACAGAACUUUCCAGAGAUGGAUUGGUGCCUUCGGGAACUGUGAGACAGGUGCUGCAUGGCUGUCGUCAGCUCGUGUUGUGAAAUGUUGGGUUAAGUCCCGCAACGAGCGCAACCCUUAUCCUUUGUUGCCAGCGGUCCGGCCGGGAACUCAAAGGAGACUGCCAGUGAUAAACUGGAGGAAGGUGGGGAUGACGUCAAGUCAUCAUGGCCCUUACGACCAGGGCUACACACGUGCUACAAUGGCAUAUACAAAGAGAAGCGACCUCGCGAGAGCAAGCGGACCUCAUAAAGUAUGUCGUAGUCCGGAUUGGAGUCUGCAACUCGACUCCAUGAAGUCGGAAUCGCUAGUAAUCGUAGAUCAGAAUGCUACGGUGAAUACGUUCCCGGGCCUUGUACACACCGCCCGUCACACCAUGGGAGUGGGUUGCAAAAGAAGUAGGUAGCUUAACCUUCGGGAGGGCGCUUACCACUUUGUGAUUCAUGACUGGGGUGAAGUCGUAACAAGGUAACCGUAGGGGAACCUGCGGUUGGAUCACCU
rnacentral:rRNA from 1 species